rnacentral:rRNA from 1 species
AUUGAACGCUGGCGGAAUGCUUUACACAUGCAAGUCGAACGGCAGCACGGACUUCGGUCUGGUGGCGAGUGGCGAACGGGUGAGUAAUAUAUCGGAACGUAUCCAAUAAUGGGGGAUAACUAAUCGAAAGGUUGGCUAAUACCGCAUACGUCCUACGGGAGAAAGCUAGGGACCUUCGGGCCUGGCGUUAAUGGAGCGGCCGAUAUCGGAUUAGCUAGUUGGUGAGGUAAAGGCUCACCAAGGCGACGAUCCGUAGCUGGUCUGAGAGGACGACCAGCCACACUGGAACUGAGACACGGACCAGACUCCUACGGGAGGCAGCAGUGGGGAAUUUUGGACAAUGGGCGAAAGCCUGAUCCAGCCAUUCCGUGUGAGUGAAGAAGGCCUUCGGGUUGUAAAGCUCUUUCGAAAGAGAAGAAAACAUACCCUCUAACAUAGGGUGAGGUUGACGGUAUCUUGAUAAGAAGCACCGGCCAACUACGUGCCAGCAGCCGCCGUAACAC